rnacentral:rRNA from 1 species
AGAGUUUGAUCAUGGCUCAGAGCGAACGCUGGCGGCGUGCUUAACACAUGCAAGUCGAACGCGCAGCAUUCUGUAGCAAUACAGGGUGUGGGCGCGUGGCGAACGGGCGCGUAACACGUGGAUAACCUUCCUUGAGGUGGGGAAUAACCCAGUGAAAAUUGGGCUAAUACCGCAUAACAUCGCGAUGGCACAUGCUGAUGCGAUCAAAGGCGCAAGUCGCCACAAGAGGGAUCCGCGGCCGAUUAGCUUGUUGGCGAGGUAAUGGCUCACCAAGGCAAUGAUCGGUAGCCGGACUGAGAGGUUGGCCGGCCACACUGGAACUGAGACACGGUCCAGACUCCUACGGGAGGCAGCAGUGGGGAAUCUUGCACAAUGGACGAAAGUCUGAUGCAGCAACGCCGCGUGGGGGAUGAAGCUUCUCGGAGUGUAAACCCCUUUCGACCCGGAAGAAUGCCCGCAAGGGUAUGACGGUACGGGUAUAAGAAGCCCCGGCUAACUACGUGCCAGCAGCCGCGGUAAUACGUAGGGGGCCAGCGUUGCUCGGAAUUACUGGGCGUAAAGGGUCCGUAGGCGGUGUAGCAAGUCGAUAGUGAAAUCUCUGGGCUUAACCCAGAGGCUGCUAACGAAACUGCUGUGCUAGAGUGUGAGAGAGGCGAGUGGAAUUACGGGUGUAGCGGUGAAAUGCGUAGAUAUCCGUAGGAACAUCCGAGGCGAAGGCGGCUCGCUGGAUCACAACUGACGCUGAGGGACGAAAGCUAGGGGAGCAAACAGGAUUAGAUACCCUAGUAGUCC